GUCCACGCCCUAAACGAUGAUAAUUAAGUGUUGCGCUUGUCGCAGUGCUGUAGCUAACGCGUUAAAUUAUCCACCUGAGAAGUACGGUCGCAAGAUUAAAACUCAAAGGAAUAGACGGGGACCCACACAAGCAGUGGAUCAUGUUGUUAAUCGACAAUAACGGGGACCUUACCCAGACUUGACAUCCUAGGAAUCCACUGGAAACAGAGGAGUGACUCGCAAGAGAGCCUAGAGACAGGUGCUGCAUGGUUGUCGU
rnacentral:rRNA from 1 species